GGCUCAGAUUGAACGCUGGCGGCAGGCCUAACACAUGCAAGUCGAGCGGUAGCACAGAGAGCUUGCUCUCGGGUGACGAGCGGCGGACGGGUGAGUAAUGUCUGGGAAACUGCCUGAUGGAGGGGGAUAACUACUGGAAACGGUAGCUAAUACCGCAUAAUGUCGCAAGACCAAAGUGGGGGACCUUCGGGCCUCAUGCCAUCAGAUGUGCCCAGAUGGGAUUAGCUAGUAGGUGGGGUAACGGCUCACCUAGGCGACGAUCCCUAGCUGGUCUGAGAGGAUGACCAGCCACACUGGAACUGAGACACGGUCCAGACUCCUACGGGAGGCAGCAGUGGGGAAUAUUGCACAAUGGGCGCAAGCCUGAUGCAGCCAUGCCGCGUGUGUGAAGAAGGCCUUCGGGUUGUAAAGCACUUUCAGCGGGGAGGAAGGCGAUAAGGUUAAUAACCUUGUCGAUUGACGUUACCCGCAGAAGAAGCACCGGCUAACUCCGUGCCAGCAGCCGCGGUAAUACGGAGGGUGCAAGCGUUAAUCGGAAUUACUGGGCGUAAAGCGCACGCAGGCGGUCUGUCAAGUCGGAUGUGAAAUCCCCGGGCUCAACCUGGGAACUGCAUUCGAAACUGGCAGGCUAGAGUCUUGUAGAGGGGGGUAGAAUUCCAGGUGUAGCGGUGAAAUGCGUAGAGAUCUGGAGGAAUACCGGUGGCGAAGGCGGCCCCCUGGACAAAGACUGACGCUCAGGUGCGAAAGCGUGGGGAGCAAACAGGAUUAGAUACCCUGGUAGUCCACGCCGUAAACGAUGUCGAUUUGGAGGUUGUGCCCUUGAGGCGUGGCUUCCGGAGCUAACGCGUUAAAUCGACCGCCUGGGGAGUACGGCCGCAAGGUUAAAACUCAAAUGAAUUGACGGGGGCCCGCACAAGCGGUGGAGCAUGUGGUUUAAUUCGAUGCAACGCGAAGAACCUUACCUGGUCUUGACAUCCACAGAACUUUCCAGAGAUGGAUUGGUGCCUUCGGGAACUGUGAGACAGGUGCUGCAUGGCUGUCGUCAGCUCGUGUUGUGAAAUGUUGGGUUAAGUCCCGCAACGAGCGCAACCCUUAUCCUUUGUUGCCAGCGGUUAGGCCGGGAACUCAAAGGAGACUGCCAGUGAUAAACUGGAGGAAGGUGGGGAUGACGUCAAGUCAUCAUGGCCCUUACGACCAGGGCUACACACGUGCUACAAUGGCAUAUACAAAGAGAAGCGACCUCGCGAGAGCAAGCGGACCUCAUAAAGUAUGUCGUAGUCCGGAUUGGAGUCUGCAACUCGACUCCAUGAAGUCGGAAUCGCUAGUAAUCGUAGAUCAGAAUGCUACGGUGAAUACGUUCCCGGGCCUUGUACACACCGCCCGUCACACCAUGGGAGUGGGUUGCAAAAGAAGUAGGUAGCUUAACCUUCGGGAGGGCGCUUACCACUUUGUGAUUCAUGACUGGGGUGAA
rnacentral:rRNA from 1 species